CAGGAGGAUAUGGAGCAGCAAACGGUGCGUCAGCAAGGAGGAAGGCCGCCAGGUUCAGAGCUUCAAACGGAGCCUCUUCCAGCAGGGAGCCGUGGGAGCGCCGCGCUGCUGCACACACACCGGCGUGCACACCUUGCACUGCUUGCACACGAAACCUCCUUGCACGCGUGCACCUCUGCACCCGCACCCGGAGCAGCUCUGCAUGUGCUCGCGCUCACACCCGCACACUGUUUGCAAACGCUCUCGCAAGCGCGUGCACGGAUGCACCUUUGCAAGUGGAUGCGUGCGCUCGUGGGCACCCAUGCACGUUUGCACGUGGGCGUAUGUGUGCACACGUGCUCCAUGCACACACGCUCAUGCACAUGUGCUCCGUGCACACAUGCUCCAUGCACACAUGCUCCAUGCACACAUGCUCCAUGCACAUGUUUUCCAUGCACACGUGCUCAUGCACACAUGCUCCAUGCACACAUGCCCCAUGCACACACGCUCCAUGCACACACGCCCCAUGCUCACACACUCCAUGCACACGUGCUCCAUGCACACACGCUCCAUGCACACACGCCCCAUGCACACGUGCUCCAUGCACACAUGCUCCAUGCACACGUGCUCCAUGCACACACGCCCCAUGCACACACGCCCCAUGCACACACACCGCAUGCACACAUGCUCCAUGCACACGUGCUCCAUGCACACACGCUCCAUGCACACACGCUCCAGCCCCUCUUUGCACAACCACUCAGCGUGCCCUGCUGUGUUUGCUGCAGGUGCUGAGCGACAGCGAUACCCCCAAAGACGAUGGUGAUGAUGGUGAUGAUGGUGAUGAUGAUGAAGAGGAAGGCAGCUGCUCCGUAAGGCUCCGCAGAAGUAAGCCGUGGGGCUUUGCGCCCGUGCACACACAGGUUGAGGGGUUUGAUGCUGUAUGGGCUCGGAGGGCACUCGGACAGCAGCGGCUUCGUGGAGGAGCCCCUCCCUGAGCAGACAGAGUGAGCCCACCCGGGGGUCCCCCACCCGCACCCCCACCCCAACUGCUGCUCCAGCACCGGAACGCACCGACGGGUGCAGGAAAGAUUGCACCGCUGCACUUCAGGCAAUGGAGCCCAUCCUCAGCCCAGGGCUGAGCACCGCGUGGACACUGUGUGUGUGUGUGUGUGUGUGUGUGUGCAGCGUGCAAAUGUGUGCACGAGUGUGUUGGAUGCACCCAGAACUCAGGACUGGCACCCGCACCGCCCCCCCCCCUCUCCCCCAGCCCCAUUUCUAUGGGGCUUCACUUGCACUUUGGAGUUGGCUGCCCCCCCCGGCGCUCGGAACACUAUGAUGGGGGUUUGCUGGGGAACAGCCGACAGCACACUGGAAAUAAAGGUCCC
ensembl:lncRNA